UCUUAAUUUCACCCAGUCUAAACGUAGCAAGGUGAAGUUAAGUUGUCUUGUAUUAAUUGUUUAAACUCAUAGGUUAAACGUAGCACUUGAGUAAGAUGUAUUGUGUUAAAAUUGUAUAACUGUGUGUAUAUGGUUUAAAGUUUGAUAAACUGUAACAUCAUUUGAGAAGAGAUUUUUGUGUAAACUCCAGUUGUCAGUCAGUAUACAGACUGAAAAUUGUGACCUUUCGAUCUCUCAAAAGGUGAUAUAGUGGUGUGUAAAAGUACAAGUAACAGAAAUGAGGUUGAAUCAUGGCAAGCAGCUUGAUCAUGGGGAUAGUAUACCCAGUGAUUCCCCAGUUUAUUUAAUGAAACAGAAAUAUGGCCCUUCAAAUAUUAUGUAUUCAAAGAAAUGGGCAAAGUUAACUAAGAAUAAUAUAAAUCCAUGGCCAGUGGUGGGGUCAUUAGACCCUUGGGUGUUGUUAAGUUUAAGAACAAUGUUGUUAAAUGGAAAAAGUCUUUCAAAACUGGAAUGGUCUGCAUAUAUGUUAUGGCAUGAGGAAAUUGAAAAGAAAAAGCAAGAAUGUUCCCCCCAGUCAGGUGCAACAGGAGGGGCACGUAAAGGAGAGGGUACUGGUGUUGCCUGUUUGUAUCCCUCACUGUACAAUUUAAAAAGAAAUGUUAAAAAUCCUCCGCCUUAUAAUGAUGAUGAGGAUUUUUUGAUUAAUCAUGAGAUUAUGAAUCCCUCUUUGGGUCACUUCCCCUCAGCAGAUGAAUGAUGCACCACAGCUUGUACCCCAAAAUUUAGCUGGUGCCUCAGCCAUGUUGCAUUGAGGUGGUAGACCUGAGAGGGAUAUUAGACUGCCUAAAAGAUUUGCUGAUCAUGCUGUGGUAACUACAGGUUUAUCAGGAUGUAGCAAUGUGUUGCCUGAGAGUGAUGGGAGUGAGGCUAUGAUUUUACCUAUUAGAGAAGUGGGACAGAUGGAUAAUGAUGGGAGACCACGGAGGAUUUGUCAACCGUGGAGCCCACAAGACAUAGCAUUUUUACAGGUAUCAUUUCCUGCCCCCUCUAGAUCCAAAUGGGUUUGUAAAACAUUUAAAAAUAAUGUGUGCCAGCUAUUUCCCCACAACAUAAGAUCUUAAUGAGUUAAUGGAGACAGUAUUAACCCCUGCAGAACAUACUAAAUGGGUGGCAGGAUAUAACGAGUCACCUUUCUCAUGGCCUGCAGGAGUGGGGGUACAAGCAGUUGCACACAUAUGGGAAAAUUGCCCUGAUGAGAGGAGUGAUGUUGUCCUUAAGAAUUGGUAUGCAUUCCUCAGCAUCAAAUUAAAAACAGUUUUUACCCAGCCUAUUGACUAUACAUAGCAUAGUGCAAAAGAAAGGAGAAAACCCCUAUGAAUAUGCGGAAGCAAUUAAGGUUUUUGGAAGUUUUGAAGAUAUCACGAAUUAAUCAAUUAAGCCGUUCAUAGUGAAUACCUUAGUAAAUGGUUUGGAUGCUAAAGUAAAAAAAACAAUUGAUGUUAUCCUUACUGGGAUGGCGGGAUAAAUCACUUAAUAUUGUAUUAAGUGCAGCAUCGGAAAUUUGACAGGCUAUUCAAAUCAAGGAAAAUGCAAAAGCUGAGCACCUUAUGCUACAAGCUGAACAAAUGCCUGUUAGAUAUUAUGCACAUCAGCCAAGACAAAACAUAGCCAGAAGACCCCCACAGAAUAAUGUAAGAACAUUUAUCAAAUGUUUCAAUUGUGAUGGAUAUGGUCAUAUAGCAACAGAUUGCAAGGAGGUAAAGGGGGCAAGAAAGCAAUUAGAAGAAAAAGACGGACUAGAUGUAGAAGAAGAUUGGGGUCUGAAUAUGUAUUGUUAGUGUACCUGUGACCCAAGGUCCAGAACCUAUGGUACAUUUGAAAGUAAAUUAAUUGUAUGUGAUACUGAGGGAAGAAGAAGUAAGUGAUUUUGGUGGGGAGAGUGUAUAUUUAGUGGAAGACCAGCAUUGCCAUCAUUGUUGUUUAAUUCUGAAUGGUCAAGGCUGGGCCUAGAAUCUGUAUUGGUACUGGUGUGUUCUUCAUGUGUUAUUUGUUUACAAUACAAUGCAGGUCAGAGACCUAAGAUUAAGCAGCUAAAUCAUCCUCCCUGUUCAUGAGGUCCAUUUGUAAAUUUACAAAUGGAUUUCAUUGAAUUACCAAAGGUAAUGCAGUAUUGGUAUGUGCUAGUAAUAUUAGAUACAUUCUCAGGUUUGGUUGAGGCUUAUCCUUGUUGCCAUGCGGAUAUGUCUACAAUGUUUAAGAAAUUGUUACAAGAAUUUAUACCCAGGUAUGGAUUGCCUCGGCACAUUUACUCAGAUCAGGGAACACAUUUCACAGGAAAAGUAGUGCAACAGAUAGCAAAAAUUUAGCAAAUCCCUUACCAUUUACAUUGCUCUCAUCAUCCUCAGUCAGAAGGAGCAGUAGAAAGGGCCAAUGGAACAUUGAAAAACAAAAUUGCAAAAAUUGCAGCAGAGAAAGUUAAAGUGGCUUAAUGCACUUCCUCUUGCCUUAAUGUCUAUGAGAUUCUCUCUAGUUUGAAAGCAGGGUUAUCCCCUCAUGAAAUUCUAAUGGGAAGACCAAUGUUCACAGGAGGGGUACCUAUAAAAUGUUAUUCUCAUGAGAUAAAUGAUGAUUUAGUAAUGACAUAUUGCAUGUAGCUAACAAAACGAUUAGUCUCUCUAUAUGCAGGUAAAAGCUGUACAGCGAACAAGUGAAUACCAACCUUUGCAUGCCAUCGCUCCUGGAGAUUAUGUUAUGAUAAAAGACCAUUCACGAAAGCACGCGUUGCAACCAAGGUGGAAAGGACCUUGUCAAGUGUUAUUAACCACUAAUUCAGCUGUUAAAGUCGCAGGGGUUAAAUCUUGGAUCCACAUUUCCCAUUGUAAACUGACAAGCGCUGAAAAAGAUUUUUCACUGGAAGAAGAAUAGAGGACUAAGGAAGCCGUUUUCCCUNNNNNNNNNNNNNNNNNNNNNNNNNNNNNNNNNNNNNNNNNNNNNNNNNNNNNNNNNNNNNNNNNNNNNNNNNNNNNNNNNNNNNNNNNNNNNNNNNNNNUCCCUGUCAUGUGAUUGUGGCUAAAUGUUGAGGUUAGCCACAUGAAUCUAAUCUCCCAAGUCUAAACGUAGGAAAGUGAGAUUGGAUUAUUUUGUUUUAGUGUCUUAAUUUCACCCAGUCUAAACGUAGCAAGGUGAAGUUAAGUUGUCUUGUAUUAAUUGGCUAGCCACAUGAAUCUAAUCUCCCAAAUCUAAACGUAGGAAAGUGAGAUUAGAUUAUUUUGUUUCAUUGUCUUAAUUUCACCCAGUCUAAACGUAGCAAGGUGAAGUUAAGUUGUCUUGUAUUAAUUGUUUAAACUCAUAGGUUAAACGUAGCACUUGAGUAAGAUGUAUUGUGUUAAAAUUGUAUAACUGUGUGUAUAUGGUUUAAAGUUUGAUAAACUGUAACAUCAUUUGAGAAGAGAUUUUUGUGUAAACUCCAGUUGUCAGUCAGUAUACAGACUGAAAAUUGUGACCUUUCGAUCUCUCAAAAGGUGAUAUAGUGGUGUGUAAAAGUACAAGUAACAGAAAUGAGGUUGAAUCAUGGCAAGCAGCUUGAUCAUGGGGAUAGUAUACCCAGUGAUUCCCCAGUUUUUUUAAUGAAACAGAAAUAUGGCCCUUCAAAUAUUAUGUAUUCAAAGAAAUGGGCAAAGUUAACUAAGAA
rnacentral:lncRNA from 1 species